rnacentral:rRNA from 1 species
UAGAGUUUGAUCAUGGCUCAGAGCGAACGCUGGCGGCAGGCUUAACACAUGCAAGUCGAGCGGGCGUAGCAAUACGUCAGCGGCAGACGGGUGAGUAACGCGUGGGAACAUACCUUUUGGUUCGGAACAACCCAGGGAAACUUGGGCUAAUACCGGAUAAGCCCUUACGGGGAAAGAUUUAUCGCCGAAAGAUUGGCCCGCGUCUGAUUAGCUAGUUGGUGAGGUAACGGCUCACCAAGGCGACGAUCAGUAGCUGGUCUGAGAGGAUGAUCAGCAUCACUGGGACUGAGACACGGCCCAAACUCCUACGGGAGGCAGCAGUGGGGAAUUUUGGACAAUGGGGGCAACCCUGAUCCAGCCAUGCCGCGUGCGGGAAGAAGGCCUUCGGGUUGUAAACCGCUUUUAGCCGGGAAGAAAAGGCCAUCCCUAACAGGGGUGGUUUUUGACGGUACCGGCGGAAUAAGCACCGGCUAACUACGUGCCAGCAGCCGCGGUAA